CAUUAUCAAUGUCCAUGACUGCAUGAGCAAGCAAUGAAGCAUGACAUAACUUGAUAACUUCUAAGGACAUUUUUGUAUGUGUGGCUUUUCACUUGACUGUCUUUUGACUGUGUGGCACAGUGUCCUGUUUAUUGGAAUAAAUCAGAGAAAACAGUGUUCAUGGUGUAUGUACCCUCUAUCCACUGUGAAAAGGGAGAGCAAUAACAGGAGUAUCCAGGCAUGACCAAAACAGAAAGAUCCAUAGAUCAUGAAGUAAUAGAACAUGUAUUUCUAACCAGUGUUACCCACAGUCUACCAAGAAAACUAGUACUGAAUAAGGUUUUACACACACACAAUGGUGGUUCAUGUGAGAGGAAAAAGUGAUUUGUUCGCGAAAGUUCUUGCUUGUCUUUAUCUACAAAUGAUGUUAAUUUUACAGUACACAGAACAUUGAGGGAUUGAUUGAACAAAGCUAUAUGUAGAAAAUAUAUCAAAAUAUUAACUUUAUAAAUGAAUAAUAAA